AGAAGCCUUCUUGUUGUCCAUGAACUGUCCCUCUGGGAUGGCACUGGCAUUGAGUACUCUGUAUCUGCAGAAGAAAACAUGAAGAAAUUCACAUGUCUGAAA